CUAGCUUGCUAGGCGGAUUAGUGGCGCACGGGUGAGUAACGCAUAGAUGACAUGCCCUUUAGUUUGGGAUAGCCACUAGAAAUGGUGAUUAAUACCAAAUAUUACCCUACGGGGGAAAGAUUUAUCGCUAAAGGAUUGGUCUAUGUCCUAUCAGCUUGUUGGUGAGGUAAAGGCUCACCAAGGCAAUGACGGGUAUCCGGCCUGAGAGGGUGAACGGACACACUGGAACUGAGACACGGUCCAGACUCCUACGGGAGGCAGCAGUAGGGAAUAUUGCUCAAU
rnacentral:rRNA from 1 species